rnacentral:rRNA from 1 species
AAUAGAUACCCGGGUAGUCCACGCCGUAAACGAUGGAUACUAGCUGUUUGAGCGCAAGUUUGAGUGGCUAAGCGAAAGUGAUAAGUAUCCCACCUGGGGAGUACGGGCGCAAGCCUGAAACUCAAAGGAAUUGACGGGGGCCCGCACAAGCGGUGGAGCAUGUGGUUUAAUUCGAUGAUACGCGAGGAACCUUACCAGGGCUUAAAUGUAGAUUGACGUAUUUGGAAACAGAUAUUUCUUCGGACAAUUUACAAGGUGCUGCAUGGUUGUCGUCAGCUCGUGCCGUGAGGUGUCAGGUUAAGUCCUAUAACGAGCGCAACCCCUGUUGUUAGUUGCCAGCGAGUAAUGUCGGGAACUCUAGCAAGACUGCCAGUGUAAACUGUGAGGAAGGUGGGGAUGACGUCAAAUCAUCACGGCCCCUUACGUCCUGGGCCACACACGUGCUACAAUGGCCGGUACAGAGAGCAGCCACUUAGCGAUAAGGAGCGAAUCUAUAAAAGCCGGUCACAGUUCGGAUCGGAGU